UACGGAGGGUGCGAGCGUUGUCCGGAAUCACUGGGCGUAAAGGGCGCGUAGGCGGUUGCGUAAGUCAUCUGUGAAAUCCCGGAGCUCAACUCCGGGGCUGCAGGUGAGACUGCGUGACUAGAGCACAGUAGAGGCGAGUGGAAUUCCCGGUGUAGCGGUGGAAUGCGUAGAUAUCGGGAAGAACACCGGUGGCGAAGGCGGCUCGCUGGGCUGUUGCUGACGCUGAGGAGCGAAAGUGUGGGGAGCGAACAGG
rnacentral:rRNA from 1 species